UCCUGCCCUAUGAUUAGUUAAAUGGCUGCAGUAUUCUGACUGUGCAAAGGUAGCAUAAUAAUUAGUCUUUUAAUUGGAGGCUUGUAUGAAUGGAAUCAUGAGGUAUUUGUUUUAUUUUUAAUAUUUUUAUAAUUUAAUUUUUGUGUAAAAAAGCUUAAUUUUUUUUCUGGGACGAUAAGACCCUAUAGAACUUUAUAAACUAUUUUCUUGUUAAAAAUUUAGUUUAAUUUUUUUUAAAAUAUUUUUGUUUAUUUAGUUGGGGAGAUUAAUAAAUUUUACUUUAUUUUAAUUUUUCAUUUUUUUAUGUUUGUUUUGAUCCAUUUUUGAUUUUAAGAUUAAGUUACCUUAGGGAUAACAGCGUAAUUUUAAUGGGGAGUUCAUAUUUAUAUUAAAGUUUGCGACCUCGAUGUUGAAUUAAGAUAAAUUCUGGGGGUAG
rnacentral:rRNA from 1 species